GAUCUCUAUUGGCAGGAAACCAUUACUUAGAUCUUUGCAUCUCUCUGUGCAUUGAUUUGUAGUGAGUUCUCUGCCAAAGGAGAUUUGCCCGGUAAUUCUUCUGCACCAAUAUUUCAAAAAAAAAAGUUAGAUGUGAUUAAUCGGAAGACUAUUUUCACACAAUUUACAAUUAAGAAAUUCCUUUUUCUUGUCUUCGUGCGCAUUGGUUGAUGUUCAUGCAUGAAGAUGUGGGAUUCAUCGCUUCGUCUUUUUUGGAUAAACUAUUUCUCUCUUCGUAUUUGAAUCAAUGUAGAAGGUAGCUUUACCCCGAAUAGAAAGAGAAUGAAGGGUGUUGCCCAAGAAAAAGAAAGAGAAUGAAGGGUAAACAGCUAAUGGCGCUUACAUUUUAUAUGAAAAGAUACGUUUUAUGAUUUUUUUUUACGUUUUAUGAUUUUAAAAACUUAAUUAUCUUGAGAUAAAAUUUUAUAUGAGAACCGUAUUAUAAUACAUUUUUGAUUUCUUAUAAAUAAUAUUAUUGAAAUAAAUUUUCUAUCA